AAACUAACAAGGAUUCCCCUAGUAACUGCGAGUGAAGCGGGAAAAGCUCAAAUUUAAAAUCUGGUAGUCUUUGGCUGCCCGAGUUGUAAUCUAGAGAAGCAUUAUCCGUGCUGGACCGUGUAUAAGUCUCCUGGAAUGGGGCGUCAUAGAGGGUGAGAAUCCCGUCUUUGACACGGACUUCUGGUGCUUUGUGAUGUGCUCUCAAAGAGUCGAGUUGUUUGGGAAUGCAGCUCUAAAUGGGUGGUAAAUUCCAUCUAAAGCUAAAUAUUGGCGAGAGACCGAUAGCGAACAAGUACCGUGAGGGAAAGAUGAAAAGAACUUUGGAAAGAGAGUUAAACAGUACGUGAAAUUGUUGAAAGGGAAACGCUUGAAGUCAGUCAUAUUGUCCAGGGAUCAACCUUGCUUUUUGCUCGGUGUACUUCCUGUUUCAAUAGGUCAGCAUCAAUUUUGACCAGUGGAAAAAGGCAGAGGGAAUGUGGCAUCUUCGGAUGUGUUAUAGCUUUCUGUCAUAUACAUUGGUUGGGAUUGAGGAACUCAGCACGCCGCAAGGCCGGGUUUUAACCACGUUCGUGCUUAGGAUGCUGGCAUAAUGGCUUUAAUCGACCCGUCUUGAA
rnacentral:rRNA from 1 species